rnacentral:rRNA from 1 species
UACGUAGGCAGCAAGCGUUGUUCGGAGUUACUGGGCGUAAAGAGUGCGUAGGUGGUGCCCUAAGUCUGUUGUGAAAUCUCCCGGCUUAACUGGGAGGGUGCGGUGGAAACUGGGGUGCUUGAGUGUGGGAGAGGUAAGCGGAGUUCCUGGUGUAGCGGUGAAAUGCGUAGAUAUCUGGAGGAACACCGGUGGCGAAGGCGGCAUUCUGGACCAUAACUGACACUGAGAGACGAAAGCCAGGGGAGCAAACGGG